CCGAGUUUACAACUCCCAAACCCAAUGUGAACCAUACCAAACUGUUGCCUCGGCGGGGUCACGCCCCGGGUGCGUCGCAGCCCCGGAACCAGGCGCCCGCCGGAGGGACCAACCAAACUCUUUACUGUAGUCCCCUCGCGGACGUUAUUUCUUACAGCUCUGAGCAAAAAUUCAAAAUGAAUCA
rnacentral:misc_RNA from 1 species